GAUCCUAGCUUGCUAGGAGGCGUCGAGCGGCGGACGGGUGAGUAAUGCAUAGGAAUCUGCCCGGUAGUGGGGGAUAACCUGGGGAAACCCAGGCUAAUACCGCAUACGCCCUACGGGGGAAAGCAGGGGAUCUUCGGACCUUGCGCUAUCGGAUGAGCCUAUGUCGGAUUAGCUAGUUGGUGAGGUAAAGGCUCACCAAGGCUGCGAUCCGUAGCUGGUCUGAGAGGAUGAUCAGCCACAUCGGGACUGAGACACGGCCCGAACUCCUACGGGAGGCAGCAGUGGGGAAUAUUGGACAAUGGGCGAAAGCCUGAUCCAGCCAUGCCGCGUGUGUGAAGAAGGCCUUCGGGUUGUAAAGCACUUUCAGUGAGGAAGAAAGCCUUGAGGUUAAUACCCUCGAGGGAGGACAUCACUCACAGAAGAAGCACCGGCUAACUCCGUGCCAGCAGCCGCGGUAAUACGGAGGGUGCGAGCGUUAAUCGGAAUUACUGGGCGUAAAGCGCGCGUAGGCGGCUUGAUAAGCCGGUUGUGAAAGCCCCGGGCUCAACCUGGGAACGGCAUCCGGAACUGUCAGGCUAGAGUGCAGGAGAGGAAGGUAGAAUUCCCGGUGUAGCGGUGAAAUGCGUAGAGAUCGGGAGGAAUACCAGUGGCGAAGGCGGCCUUCUGGACUGACACUGACGCUGAGGUG
rnacentral:rRNA from 1 species